rnacentral:rRNA from 1 species
CCUACGGGAGGCUGCAGUGAGGAAUAUUGGUCAAUGGUCGGGAGACUGAACCAGCCAAGCCGCGUGAGGGAUGAAGGUACAGAGUAUCGUAAACCUCUUUUGUCAGGGAACAAAGGCGGGGACGUGUCCCCGGUUGAGUGUACCUGAUGAAAAAGCACCGGCUAAUUCCGUGCCAGCAGCCGCGGUAAUACGGAGGAUGCGAGCGUUAUCCGGAUUUAUUGGGUUUAAAGGGUGCGCAGGCGGGCUGUCAAGUGCGCGGUGAAAGGCCCGGGCUCAACCCCGGCCCGGCCGUUGAAACUGGCAGGCUCGAGUUGGAGAGAAGUAUGCGGAAUGCGCGGUGUAGCGGUGAAAUGCAUAGAUAUCGCGCAGAACUCCGAUUGCGAAGGCAGCAUGCCGGCUCCACACUGACGCUGAGGCACGAAAGCGUGGGUAUCGAACAGGAUUAGAUACCCGUGUAGUC